CAAAAUACUGAGGCGAAAUACACUAUUAAAUGGGAAUAUUAUUAUUUAUUCCAAAAGUAAAUAGAUUCAGUUAUUGCACUAGAGAUUUAAAAUGUGCCUGUGUUAUUAUUAUUAUUAUAGGCAUGCUUUCAAGCAUUCACACAGCAGGCUUGCUAGGUUUGCCGCAUUGUAGAUCUCUCUUCGAAGCAUCUAGCUUUGUAAAAAUUCCUACAAACAUACUACGAUGGCUAUUAUUCGUGUGCGAGCUUUUUAUAAUUGCAAAUUGCUUUGCAUUUCUACUUGGCAUUUUUAUGAAUUAUCGACAAAUAUAUGCCGAUUUAUUAAUAAUAAGUGCAAUAGUGACGUCACUAAUAUCCGUACCGUACGCAGUUCUUAUGGUAAUACAGGAACAAUACACUGAUUGUCGCUGGUACUACUCACAAAUAUUCCAUUUGAUACUUUAUUUUUUCAUGUGGGGUUACUUUAUCGUCAUUGUCAACUCUUACGAAGGAUAAAUAGGAAAUAAAUAUUUCACGAAUA